UGCAUGCACUCCUGUAAGUCACUUUGGAUAAAAGGGUCUGCCUAAUGGCAUAUA
rfam:Salmo salar isolate Sally breed double haploid chromosome ssa01, whole genome shotgun sequence.